GAUGAAGAACGUAGCGAAAUGCGAUAAGUAGUGUGAAUUGCAGAAUUCAGUGAAUCAUCGAAUCUUUGAACGCACAUUGCGCCCUUCGGUAUUCCUUAGGGCAUGCCUGUUCGAGCGUCAUUUAAACCUUCAAGCUCAGCUUGGUGUUGGGUGACUGUCCGCUUCACCGCGGACUCGCCUCAAAAUUAUUGGCGGCCGGUACAUUGGCUUCGAGCGCAGCAGAAACGCGAACUCGGGCCCGUCGUAUUGGCUCCCAGAAGCUAUCUUCACAAUUUUGACCUCGGAUCAGGUAGGGAUACCCGCUGAACUUAAGCAUAUCAAUAAGCGGAGGA
rnacentral:misc_RNA from 1 species